UGGGGAAUAUUGCGCAAUGGGCGAAAGCCUGACGCAGCGACGCCGCGUGAGGGAUGACGGCCUUCGGGUUGUAAACCUCUUUCAGCAGGGAAGAAGCGAAAGUGACGGUACCUGCAGAAGAAGCACCGGCUAACUACGUGCCAGCAGCCGCGGUAAUACGUAGGGUGCGAGCGUUGUCCGGAAUUAUUGGGCGUAAAGAGCUCGUAGGCGGCCUGUCGCGUCGGAUGUGAAAACUCGGGGCUUAACCCCGAGCCUGCAUUCGAUACGGGCAGGCUAGAGUUCGGCAGGGGAGACUGGAAUUCCUGGUGUAGCGGUGAAAUGCGCAGAUAUCAGGAGGAACACCGGUGGCGAAGGCGGGUCUCUGGGCCGAUACUGACGCUGAGGAGCGAAAGCGUGGGGAGCGAACA
rnacentral:rRNA from 2 species